CAGUCGCCACGGGAAUACGUAGGGUGCGAGCGUUAAUCGGAAUUACUGGGCGUAAAGCGUGCGCAGGCGGUUGUGUAAGACAGGUGUGAAAUCCCCGGGCUUAACCUUGGAACUGCCUUUGAUACUGUUUGUCUUGAGCUCGAGAGAGGUAAGUGGAACUGCGAGUGUAGAGGUGAAAUUCGUAGAUAUUCGCAAGAACACCAGUGGCGAAGGCGGCUUACUGGCUCGAAACUGACGCUGAGGCGCGAAAGCGGGGGGAGCAAACAGGAUUAGAUACCCGAGUAGUCCCUGUCUCUUAUAC
rnacentral:rRNA from 1 species